GUUUCCGCCGGGAGGGGGGCUGCAGGCCGCGGGCCGUGUCUGACCUGAAUUCUUACACUUACAGGAAAUUAGAGCCCUUGGAAGCAGGUGCGCUGGGAUCCUAACACUCGGGUGGCCGAGAGGGCGAUGUGGCUGAGGCAACAGGGAAAGGGGGCUGGACUGGGCUGGGGGCUGGAGGAGGGGCCAGUCCCGAGGGGACGGGGCUCCAACCUCACCUUCCUGCUGUCGUGGAGAAGAAAAGUGGUAAUGACCGCUACUGUGCACUGGGCUCUCGCUCUGUGCUUUGCUUGUGUUUGCUCAGUUAAUCCUCCCAACAUGCCUCUAAGCCACCUAUGGGCAACAAGGUCUCCAAGGAAACUCCAGAACAUUCUGUGGGUUUCAGUGGUUACCUGCUGAGGCGGCAUUGGGCAUGGAGCAUCCGAGGGUCCAAGGGUUCUUCUCAGCCACCGUCAACAACCCCAGCUGCUACCAAGGUGCAAGAACACACAGGCUGCUGUGAAAGGACUGUAGGGGGCAAGGGCAGAGGAAGGGGCCAGCCAGGAGGCUUCCAAAAUAAUCCAGGCAGGAGAGGAUGGUGGCCUGGACAAGGGUGGCAGGUGGAGGAAACUGGCUGGAUUCCAGAAAUUCUCCCAUUUCGGCACCCAGACUCCAUGCAGAGUAGAAAUGGAUGCUCUUGGCUGGGUGCGGGGGCUUGUGCCUGUCAUCCCAGCACUUUGGGAGGCUGAGGCAGGUGAAUCAUGAAGUCAGGAGAUCGAGACCAUCCUGGCUAAUACAGUGAAACCCUGUCUCUACUAAAAAUACAAAAAAUUAGCCGGGUGUGGUGGCACGCGCCUGUAGUCCCAGCUACUCAAGAGGCUGAGGCAGGAGAAUCGCUUGAACCAGGGAGGCGGAGGUUGCAGUGAGCUGAGAUCAGGCCACUGCACUCCAGCCUGGGUGACAGAGAGAGACUCUGUCUCAAAAAAAAAAAAAAAAAGAUGCUCUUGAAUUUGAGUUCUGAAAUUUUGCAUCCUGUUCCCCAUGUGGCGGCCCAGCCAUUUUUCCCUUAGGGUGAGUGGGCCUGUGAAACCAGGAGAGCGCUGCUGUGCGUCUAGUCGUCGGGGGCAUAUUGAUCGAUUUAUUUGACCCUCUGCAGGAGGUGUGCUGAAUGUCCCAUUCCCCGGUGCUGCCAGCUCCUCAGAGCUCUGUAGGUUACCCCGUGAGACCUUCUCCCUGCACGCCUUUUUUUCUCUAAUAGAAAUACCUGCUACCUGUUGCCUUCUUCCCUGCAGGAUCACAAGCGCUUGCCCAGUGCCUGGCAUAGAGGCGGCCAUAGCUGGACUCCUACCCUGUUCCAGAUGAGGAAACUGCCGCUCAGAGACGGCAGCCGACCCAGCCAAGGCCGCACAGCCAGGAUUCAAAGCCAUACCGCUCAGCUCCUGCCUCCAGGCUCUGCCUUUGCAUGUGGCUUCUCCUGGCUCCUGGACCCUUCCCCGGCCCUCCCAGCUGGCUGUGCUGUGACAGUGGGCGGGGGAGUGCCAAGGCUCUGCCCUGCCCCCCGCCCUUGGCAUCUCCGGUCAAUAUGGCACUCACAGCUCCCUGGGCAUGGACCCCCUCCUGCCAUCCCCACUUAAAGUGAUACUUUAAUAAAUUAUGCUUUUAUGUUAUUACACGUGGAGCUAUAAAAGCAGAGAGUGUGCGGCCGGGCUGAGGUAAGGCGCCCGCGACUUUCCAAUUUCCUGGUCUGGCCUGGCUCUGCUCCGCACCGUGAAUUUUUCAUUAAUGUGCACAGGUGACGCCACGGGGCAGCCGCAGGCCAGUCAUAGUUACAGAGGCAAUGGACACAUUGAAGAGAGGAAAGAAAACAAACACGACCUAGAAUCUACGGGGAAGGAAGCCUUCUAGACUCCAGACCUUCCGUGUCCAGAAGUGUCAGUCUUCACAUCUGUGAGGUGGGGCCAAGGAGUCCUGCCCUGCCAUGCUGGGUGUUGACUUCGGGGAAGGGGCCUUGGGAUGUCUAUGAGGAUGCAGCUGCUGCCUUCUGUCUUGGCAGAGACCAUGGCCACCCCAGGACACCGUGUUUGGUCCCCGCUGUGCUAAGUCUCCUCCAGGCACCAGCCAGGCAUCAGUGGAGCACAGCGGAAAUGGGUCCAAAGCCACCCACAGAGGCUCUGUGUGGUUCUUGGAUAAUUCUGGAAGGCUCUAGAGAAGGCAACAAGAAGGCAGGAACCCAGGGCCAGAAACUGGACAACUUGUGUGUGUUUGUCUGUAAAGUGGGGCUAGGAAUCCGCGUGGGGGUCAAAUGAGAACAGCUCUGCCUCCCAGCGCACAGUCCCGCGUCGAGGUCAGAGAGCCUCUUAGGCCCUGGCUCUUUUGGGAAAUCAUCCCAGGGGCUAAAGACAAAACUGAAGUUGAAAUAAACAUGGGGGUCCAAACACUCCAGAAUUCUGAGUGAGGGAAUCUCCUCCCAGGCUUCCACGCCAGGCCCGAAUGCAAACAAGAGGCAGCAGGGGUGGCUUGGGCCCCUCACACAGAAUUAGUGAGAUUAGCUGAGAACCAGAGCCCAGCAGAUGUCCCCUCUCUGGACUCGGUGACUCACUUGCCUCCCUGGUUGAGAAUCGUAUCCGGCUGGGCCUGAGCUGUCCUGGCUGGCGGGGAGCUGGACGCAGGGCAGAGGUCGGGGUAAACACCCGUGCUCCAGGCGGGAGGUCGGGAUGGGGGUGGUGACAAGGAGGACAACAUUUCCACUCAGCAGAAAGAAGAGCCUGAGCUGCCCUAGAGCCGGAGGCGCUGCCUGGAGAGGUCGUGAGGACCCGGUCCCAGAGGUGUGCAAGCUGGGUACCCUUUGAAGACUAUAGGAGGAUUCCAGUUGGCGCUGGGAGUACUCCAGGCAGGAUGCCAGUUCAGGUCCUUCGUGCAUGAGACUCUCCCAGAGAGGCAGGCAAACAUUUUCUGGGAAGGGCCAGAUAGUAAAUAUUUCAGGUUUUGCGGGUCAUCCUGCUAUCUCUGUUGCAACUGCUCAACUCUGCCACUGUAGCUUGGAAGCAGCUACAGACAAUACAUAAAUGAAUGGAUGUGGG
rnacentral:lncRNA from 1 species